CGGGAAGCAGGGUCGCAAAGGAGUUCAAGGAAAAACGGGUGUCCCUGGGCCACAAGGUAUGCCAGGGCCCCAGGGCCGGCCUGGGACUGAUGGGACACCUGGGUACAAUGGAAAACAAGGACCCCCAGGCUUACCUGGAGAACAGGGGCCCCAAGGCUACAG